ensembl:lncRNA
GCAACGACUCCCAGGUGCCGCGGGGCCGCGGCCGGCCGGGCGCAGCUGCGCCUCGUCGGGAGCCGCGGGCGGGGCCCGCCCCAAAGCCUCUUAAGCUCCGCCGGAGGCUGCUGGGAGCCACGGAGGAGUUUCUGCGGUUCUCUGUUAGAAGCGAAAUGGACUCUGGUUUCUUUGCCCGGCUUUAGAGCUGCUGGGGUUGAGGAGCGGCUGAACAAGUGGUGCAGCAGAGCCAAAACCGGUAAGGUCGUGGAACCGGUAAGGUAUCAGCCCAAACCGGUAAGGUCGUGGAAGCAGUGAGUGUGGGGGAGUCACCUAGUAAGAUCUCUUUUCUUGGGGGCUUGGUCGGCUACCUAUGCGCCUUCGGGCUCGGGCUCCCGCGUGGGUUUUUAGCAGGGCCGGCACGGUGCUGCCGCCCGAGACCGAGCACGGCUCCGGGGUGGCCUCUUCCCCCGGGAAGGGUUUUGUGGGUGCUCCCACCCAUCCCGUUUCCUGCGGUGGGAGUGAGCAGGUUGGAACGAUGUAUUUCUCUGCCUUUUCCUUCACGUGUAGCUUCAGGAGCACGGUUUAGGUUGCCAUUGCAGAGACCUGGCAGGGCAGCUCGCACGACUGGAGUGCUGUCGUGGAUGGCUCUGUUCCUUUUAGGAAAGACAGACCGGCCAGGCGGUGGAGUCUCUCUUCGAGGGAGAGAACGGGAACGUAUCGAGCUCCACCUAGGGAUGACUGAAGAAGCAGCGGAGCAUUUGCGUGUGAGGCUGAAGAGGAAAGGUACCUGAAGACUGGAGGAUAGCUGAUGUCACCACAGCCUUCAGAAAAGGUGUCAUUGCCAUGUGACCAGAAGAGAAGAAGUUUGUAAGGAGCAGUCAAGAUGGAUUCACAGAGGGGAAUUCAUGCUGGACCAAAAGGUAGUGCUAUGUGUUGUCUUGAUUGUGCAGUUAGAUGAGAGGAGGGCAGCAGACUGGAGCAACUGAUGUGCGAGAGCCCAAUUGAUGGGGAUGGGUGGUGUGUAGUAGUAUGGGGGCAGUGUGCAUGUUCUGUAACACCAGAGUUUCUGUGCAAACAGGAAGAAAGAUUUCCCUGUGAGAGGGAUGGGAGAGGGUGUUCGGGGAGGUUGUGGAGUCCAGUUCCCUGGGCCCCAUUCCAGUUGCGUGCGGGCGCUUUGCAGUGGGGCCUUGGUAUUCUGUCUGGCUGUGUGAUUUGUGCUCUUGUUGCAGGGUGAAGGCUGCAGAGGAGAGCUUUGCAGAGAGGAUUGGCUGGAACAGGUUUAGGGCUGGAGGAGGGAGGACCCCAGUGGUGUGAGUGGGGUGCCCCUGUGGAGCAAGGAGAGCUGUAUGUUGUUAUCUGUGAGGGUGGAAGGUCAUGCCCUGAAGGAGGGGAGUUAAGGGAGAGUGGCCCUUUCCAGCUGGAGCUGGGGGUCCCGGUGCGGCUGAUGUCCCGUGGGGAAGAUGCAGAUCCCGGGAGCUGCGACCAGGAGGAGGAGCGGAGCCAGCAGUGGCUCCUGUGUGGUGAUGGCUGCUUAGUGGUGGUGUUCCUGGUCCUGGGCUGAAAGGAGGAGAAAGCUUUUAGUGUGUUACUUCAAAGCUCAGAUCACCUACUCCAACAGCACCAUGCCUCAGCCUCACUUCGCUCACCAGCUGAAAUUGCUGAGGAUGUUUCCUGUGUCUGUGUUGUUGCAGCUGAAUUUCUGCAAGGCAGCCUUUCUCAGAUGCGGUAGGGCUUCCCUGGCUUGAAGAUGUAUAUUGUACCUUGGUGUGGAAGUCUGCAGUUAUUAACUUCACUUUUAGUUAGUUAAUGUUCCAGCUGUGCUGCUGUUCAAAUGCAGCCACCUCUACAAGGCAGGAGAGAAAAAGGAGUUAAUUGACUUGAAUACAGAACUACUCUCCUUCUGCCUUUGCUGCUACUGUGUCUCAGUGUGUUAGUAGGUUGACUCAUUAGUGCAAGGAGAUGUCUGCUGGCCUUUAAGCUGUUGCUUCUGGGGCUAACAGGCUCUGCUUUUUUCCCAGUGGGCUGGUGAAGGAGUACACUACUGAGAAGAGAGGAAAAGCUUAACAAGUAUACAAGCUGUGUGUAGAAUAGGAAUGCAGCCUGUGUUGGAAGGGACCUCCCACUUGUAGCUCUGCCCCGGUCUGCCUGAACUUCAACUGCCAUCUCCAGUGGUAGUGUCCAAAUGCUUCUCCAACUCCCUCAGCCUGGGGCUGUGACUGCUGCCUGGGGAGCUUGCUCUAACGGCCCUCUGGUCCAGGGUCUUGUUAUAAUCUCCAAGGUGGCUUAAUACACGCACAUUAAUAUGCAUCUAAGUCCCUUGCCCUGGUCACUUCUAGAAAUACUGAAGUGCGUGUGCCCUGAAAUGAAGCCCCGUGGCCCCUGACGAGUGCUGGUCUGCUGGCCUCUUGCACUCCCCUUUAUUCUAACAAAUGCUUUGAGCCCCUUUUGCAGGGGGCUGAGUCACAGCUUAGCUUUUUGUUUAAGGUUUUAGGAGGAAGGGGUGUUUCAUGGUGUGAGAUUUAGUCCUCAGGCCUGCUUUCCUGACAAGGAUUUUCUUUACCUACUCCCCUGCGUGAUAAAUGCUUUGAACCAGACCAGAGGACAAGAUUUCAUGCUUUGGUAACCUGGGCUUUCUCUUCCACAGUGGGAUGUUGUAGAAACACACAGGCACAGAUUGAUAAAAACAGAAAAUAGAGUAGUUACUGAAUCUGUGUCUGAACUAGAAGUUGAUAGUGUAUUCCUCUGGUAGAGGAAUGUGAAAAGAUGGGGCCUGAAGCAGGAGUAAGUUUAUAGCUAAAGCGUAAAGAUCUUGCUCUCGCCCUAAGUUGGGAAUAUUUAACUGCUGCAAGCCCAGUCAUUUCAAUGUACGCAUUUUCUGCCUAGUACCAGUAUGCGUGCCUUCCAACAACCAGAACAGCUGAGCAAGGAGUACUGUUUGCAGCUAUGAAGCCUACAAGAACCAAAAAACCUCUGUUGAUUCAUAAUGUCUUUCUUGGGCAUGCAUGUUCAGAAGAGAGAUUCCAGCAUGCAUACUCAUCCUUAUAAAGUAUCUUUCCUUAUGAACACCAGUACAGACUCCCUUUCACUGUCUCCUUUAGCUGGAGGCCUGGGCUUUGUGUGUUUGUGUUCCUUCAUCUGUUAUGAGAAGAAAAGAUUUCCUUUUUUUAUUUUGUUUUCAAGACAAAUGAUAAAUAAAAACUCUCAUCCUUAACUCACAUGAGCUUUUGACUGGGAGUGGUUCCAAAAAUCUGACCUUUGUUCUCUUUUCAUUCAUGUUGCACAGCAUCCAAGGAAGCUCU